GCCUGCUGCAGAGACAGAACCCGGGUCAGGCCAACGAUUUUAAGGUCACAACAAGGAGACAGAAAACUGAAAACUGGCCAGAGCCCACCAUCACCAUCACCAUCAGCGGCCCACCGCCUCCCACCGCGACCCGGGCUGCCUGGGAGAAACCCUUUGUCACCUCAGGCCUUUCAAAGCCCCAGCUCUCACUCCCCAAUUGUUUCCACAUUUUCUGCAUUCCUGCUCCAGAUAAAGGUCCCGCUGGUUUCCCUGCCUCCCGGCUCAGAGCCGCUCACCCCCCGACCUUCGCUGCACCCUCUCUCUCCGUUUCUGCACAGCCAGGUGCUUGAGACCAACCUUGGCUUGGCUCAAGGUGGGCAAAGAGUCCGUGGGUAACAGUAAACAAGCAAGAGGCGAGCUCAGACCUCCCACUGCAGAGGAAUAAACACACUCACCACAUACCCAGUUAUUAGGUGUUCUGCUCACUGGCCUGUAAAAGCCAUCUGCUUCAGUUAACUACUGCCUGUCUUUGUUUAACAUGUGUGCAGACAGAGGUGACAAGGAACACCUGCAGGGCACGGAGGAACAACAUCACUGCAACAUUAGACUGUUUUUUUCUCAAUUUUAGUCAUUAUUUGGUUGGAUCUGACAACAGAAUAUCAGGGCCACAGUACAAAAAAUUUAAAAAUGUAUACUUACAAGAAUAAAGCCGUAGAAUUAUGAGAAUAAACUUGUACGGAAAAACGUUGCAAUAAUACAAGAAUAAAGCCAUGUGAGAAUAAAAUCAUAGUAUUAUGUGAAUAGUUACGAUACUACGGGAAGAAAGUCAUAAUAGUUUGAGAAUAAAGUCAUAGCAAGACUUUAUUCUCAUAA